AGAUUCUUUAUGAGUAUUCUGGAACUUAACAUUGGAAGGUGAUCCACUACUACAGAAGCGAAAAGGGACAGAGAUUCCAAAACCAAAGGAAUGGCUUUACAGGCUCAUACCAAAGCAGAUGGCAGGAUUUGAACCCAGUACCUGAAGUCCAUCACUGAAGCUGGAAACAGGACUGCCGUCUUUUAGCCAUGUCAGGAUGGGUGCAGGGAUGCCUCUUGCUUCGCACUCCAUUCGCACAAGGUUAUUGACCACCGCUGUCACCGUGUCACUGCUGUCAGAGAUUGAUGGUGGGACUGAAAAAAGAAAAUAAAGCCGGAGCAGCUAUGUAAGAGUUAAGAUAAAUCAAAAUGAAAUUAAAUGGGAUGCUUACUUUUA